rnacentral:rRNA from 1 species
GAUGAACGCUGGCGGCGUGCCUAAUACAUGCAAGUCGAGCGAACAGAUGAGGAGCUUGCUCCUCUGACGUUAGCGGCGGACGGGUGAGUAACACGUGGAUAACCUACCUAUAAGACUGGGAUAACUUCGGGAAACCGGAGCUAAUACCGGAUAAUAUAUUGAACCGCAUGGUUCAAUAGUGAACGACGGUUUUGCUGUCACUUAUAGAUGGAUCCGCGCCGCAUUAGCUAGUUGGUAAGGUAACGGCUUACCAAGGCAACGAUGCGUAGCCGACCUGAGAGGGUGAUCGGCCACACUGGAACUGAGACACGGUCCAGACUCCUACGGGAGGCAGCAGUAGGGAAUCUUCCGCAAUGGGCGAAAGCCUGAAGGAGCAACGCCGCGUGAGUGAUGAAGGUCUUCGGAUCGUAAAACUCUGUUAUUAGGGAAGAACAAAUGUGUAAGUAACUAUGCACGUCUUGACGGUACCUAAUCAGAAAGCCACGGCUAACUACGUG